rnacentral:rRNA from 3 species
UUUUUAUGAGAGUUUGAUCCUGGCUCAGGACGAACGCUGGCGGCGUGCCUAAUACAUGCA